CAGCCGCCACGGUAAUACGAAGGGUGCAAGCGUUAAUCGGAAUUACUGGGCGUAAAGCGUGCGUAGGCGGUGAGUUAAGUCUGCUGUGAAAUCCCCGGGCUCAACCUGGGAAUGGCAGUGGAUACUGGCUCGCUAGAGUGUGUCAGAGGAUGGUGGAAUUCCCGGUGUAGCGGUGAAAUGCGUAGAGAUUGGGAGGAACAUCAGUGGCGAAGGCGGCCAUCUGGGACAACACUGACGCUGAGGCACGAAAGCGUGGGGAGCAAACAGGAUUAGAUACCCGCGUAGUCCCUGUCUCUUAUAC
rnacentral:rRNA from 1 species